UGUUGGUAGUCGGGUCUAUGAAAGUCGGGCCCCACCCUCGGGAGGCCAUCACAGGUUGUUGCAUGGCUGUCGUCAGCUCGUGUCGUGAGAUGUUCGGUUAAGUCCGCUAACGAGCGCAACCCUCGUCGUAUGUUAUAUGUGUCAUACGAGACUGCCGGUAAAAGCCGGAGGAAGGUGAGGAUGAUGUCAAGUCAGCAUGACCUUUAUAUCCAGGGCUACACACACGCUACAAUGGUCUGUACAAUGGGUAGCCAAGCCGCGAGGCGGAGCCAAUCCUGAAAGCAGGCCUCAGUUCAGAUUGCAGUCUGCAACUCGACUGCAUGAAGCCGGAGUUGCUAGUAACCGCAGGUCAGCAAUACUGCGGUGAAUACGUUCCCGGGUCUU
rnacentral:rRNA from 1 species